GAUGAACGCUGGCGGCGUGCCUAAUACAUGCAAGUCGAGCGAACCACUUCGGUGGUGAGCGGCGAACGGGUGAGUAACACGUAGGUUAUCUGCCCAUCAGACGGGGACAACGAUUGGAAACGAUCGCUAAUACCGGAUAGGACGAAAGUUGAAAGGUGCUUCGGCCCCACUGAUGGAUGAGCCUGCGGCGCAUUAGCUAGUUGGUAGGGUAAAGGCCUACGAAGGCGACGAUGCGUAGCCGACCUGAGAGGGUGAACGGCCACACUGGGACUGAGACACGGCCCAGACUCCUACGGGAGGCAGCAGUAGGGAAUCUUCGGCAAUGGGCGAAAGCCUGACCGAGCAACGCCGCGUGAAUGAUGAAGGCCUUCGGGUUGUAAAGUUCUGUUAUAAGGGAAGAAUGACUUUAGUAGGAAAUGGCUAAAGUGUGACGGUACCUUAUGAGAAAGCCACGGCUAACUACGUGCCAGCCGCCGCAGUAA
rnacentral:rRNA from 1 species